rnacentral:lncRNA from 1 species
CACCAACUUUGCACGUUAGGAAGUUAAAUGCCAUGUAACUUUCCCCCAAAACACGCCUCUUCUUCUGGUAGGUAAACCCUAACCCCAAAUCGAUCCAUUGAAAAGUCCCCAAAUCAAAUACUCUCCAGACAAUUUCUAGAUCUGAAAUUGAAGAACAAAUCGUGGCCGGGGAGCUCGAAUUUGUAAAGUGCCAUUGGUGAAGCUGUUGACAUGGAUGGAAGAAACGGAGGUAAUUUCGAAUUUUUAUUUUCUAAAUACGCAUCAUUCACCUUCGUCGUCAGUGGCUUCGAUUUUUUAUUUUUCGGAAUAUGAUGAUAUUUGUCAGAUUGUUCCUUCGUCUUCAUCGUCUUCCAUUUUCAAAAUAUACUGUUGAGAUGAUCCAUUUCGUGUAUCAUUUUUAUUUGGUGAGUAGCCCAUGAACAUUGUAUUUAUUCAAAUUGAUUUACCUUGAGCAAAUUUUGAUUUUAGUCAAAAAGGGAAAAUGAUAUUGAGACAUAGGGCGUGCUAUUGUUGUUCCUGUUGCUUGAUAUGAGUUGUUUCCUGUUGAGAAUUCUGUUACGCUUCAUAUUUGAAUCGAUCAGAGUGGCCACGUGGAGGCAUUAUACACAGACAUCUGGCAGUCAGCGAACUCAAAGAGAGGGAACAAGCUGCUCUUUGGCCAAGGUGCUAUCCUUUCCCGAAGUUCUUUGUCGAAGCACUUCCUCAUAAAGCUGAACCUCUUCACAUUCGACGCUCCCUCUCUUGAGGCCAAAGUGCUCGCUGCCUUUAAAGUAGGUCUGAAGAGCAUCUUUAUGGAUGAUUGAUAAAACAUUUGUAUUAAUGCAUGUCACAGAGCGAUUGACCCCUUGUCAAUGUAAUUAAUGUAUGGCUGAGAGUGAUUUAUGUCUCGAUCGUUGGAAUGAGGCCAUGCGUUUUUGAUCCAACAAUGAUCACGUCUUAGCUCUAUAAAUAGCAGCUCUUGUAACAAGUAAAGAGAUUGGGAAA